GCUUUCGUGGCUCAGUCGGUAGAGCGUCAGUCUCAUAAUCUGAAGGUCGCGAGUUCGAUCCUCGCCGAGAGCA
rfam:Hanseniaspora osmophila strain AWRI3579 Hanseniaspora_osmophila_AWRI3579_scaffold5, whole genome shotgun sequence.